UACGUAGGGGCAAGCGUUGUCCGGAAUCAUUGGGCGUAAAGAGCGUGUAGGCGGCUCGAUAAGUCUGUUCUGAAAGUCCAGGCUCAACCCUGGGAUGCGGAUGGAUACUGUCGAGCUCGAGUCCGGAAGAGGCGAGUGGAAUUCCUGGUGUAGCGGUGAAAUGCGUAGAUAUCAGGAGGAACACCGGUGGUGUAGACGGCUUACUGGACCAUAACUGACGCUGAGACACGAAAGCGUGGGUAGCAAACAGG
rnacentral:rRNA from 1 species